rnacentral:rRNA from 1 species
AGAGUUUGAUCCUGGCUCAGGACGAACGCUGGCGGCGUGCUUAACACAUGCAAGUCGAGCGGUAAGGCCCUUUCGGGGGUACACGAGCGGCGAACGGGUGAGUAACACGUGAGUAAUCUGCCCUUCACUUCGGGAUAACCGCCGGAAACGGUGGCUAAUACCGGAUAUGACCACUUCGGGCAUCCGAUGGUGGUGGAAAGUUUUUUCGGUGAGGGAUGUGCUCGCGGCCUAUCAGCUUGUUGGUGGGGUAAUGGCCUACCAAGGCUUCGACGGGUAGCCGGCCUGAGAGGGUGACCGGCCACACUGGGACUGAGACACGGCCCAGACUCCUACGGGAGGCAGCAGUGGGGAAUAUUGGACAAUGGGCGGAAGCCUGAUCCAGCAACGCCGCGUGAGGGAUGACGGCCUUCGGGUUGUAAACCUCUUUCAGCGCCGACGAAGCGAGAGUGACGGUAGGCGCAGAAGAAGCACCGGCCAACUACGUGCCAGCAGCCGCGGUAAUACGUAGGGUGCGAGCGUUGUCCGGAAUUAUUGGGCGUAAAGGGCUCGUAGGCGGUUUGUCGCGUCGGGAGUGAAAACACCGGGCUUAACUCGGUGCUUGCUUUCGAUACGGGCAGACUAGAGGCAUGCAGGGGAGAACGGAAUUCCUGGUGUAGCGGUGAAAUGCGCAGAUAUCAGGAGGAACACCGGUGGCGAAGGCGGUUCUCUGGGCAUGUCCUGACGCUGAGGAGCGAAAGUGUGGGGAGCGAACAGGAUUAGAUACCCUGGUAGUCCACACCGUAAACGUUGGGCGCUAGGUGUGGGAUCCAUUCCACGGGUUCCGUGCCGCAGCUAACGCAUUAAGCGCCCCGCCUGGGGAGUACGGCCGCAAGGCUAAAACUCAAAGGAAUUGACGG